GUGCUCCCUUCAGCAUUUGCACUAAAAUUAGAAUAAUACAGAGAAAAUUACCAUGGCCACUGCACAAAAAUGACAUGCAAAUUAAUAAAGUGGUUACAUAUUUUU